CCAUAGGUACACUACAGUCCCAUUCAAGGUGACCCUAAAGGACGACAAUAGGAAAUCCUCCAUGGGGCUGAGCUUCCAGCAGUUCGUGUGGAUAUCCACUUUGUAUGGAGGCAGUGGACAGAGUAGUGGCCUGAGGGAGGGACGCAUAUGGACUUCUGGGUUGUGACGUCCUGCUGGCUGGUCAGGGACCUGAAAAGAGCAAGAGGGGAAGAUGGACCUACAGGAGUGGCCACACAAUAUGUGCAUCUCUCUGCCUUGUGUUAAUACUGCAGAGGAGUUGGUGAACAGCAGGAUGGAUGGGAUGUCAGUCAGCUGUGCCCCUGGCUACCCCUGUGCUUGAACAGUGGACUGUGAGUGGCGGCGUCAUGCAGAAGGAGCACAGGGUCCCAGGCCAGCAUCACUAUCCAGGAGCUUCAGGCAUGCUCCGUGUACCAACAUGGGAUCACGAAUCACAUCGCCUCAGGCCAAGAAAGCCAUUUUAUAGCGAAAGAGGUAUGGUAGUGUGUGGAUGACCAUGGG
rnacentral:lncRNA from 10 species